rnacentral:rRNA from 1 species
UACAGAGGGGGCAAGCGUUAUUCGGAAUUACUGGGCGUAAAGCGUGCGCAGGCGGCGCGUUAAGACAGGUGUGAAAGCCCCGAGCUUAACUUGGGAAUUGCGCUUGUGACUGGCGUGCUGGAGUGUGGCAGAGGGAGGUGGAAUUCCACGUGUAGCAGUGAAAUGCGUAGAGAUGUGGAGGAACACCGAUGGCGAAGGCAGCCUCCUGGGCCAGCACUGACGCUCAUGCACGAAAGCGUGGGGAGCAAACAGG